rnacentral:misc_RNA from 1 species
AAACUAGAAAUCAUAUACACGUUCGCUGAGGGCUCCUAAUCUAAGUUGACAGUCCAGCCCAUCUUGUCCUCGGCGAUGCCCAUCUGUAGACUGGUCAGUGCAGAAUAGAGCUUCUGGGACACAACACCAACACCUUCGUUCCCAUAAUUCACCCUUUUCCCAAGGUAAGUUAUACUCCCCACUGGCGAUACAACCACAGCAGUACCAGUACAAAAAACUUCAUCAGCAUCAAGCAACUCGUCUACCGAUACGAACCUCUCUUCAACCUGGUACCCUUGGCUCCGAGCAACAUCUAUUAUACUUUUCCUUGUAAUGCCAGGCAAAAUUG